CCUACGGGGGACAGCAGUGAGGAAUAUUGGUCAAUGGGCGCGAGCCUGAACCAGCCAAGUAGCGUGAAGGAUGACUGCCCUACGGGUUGUAAACUUCUUUUAUAAAGGAAUAAAGUGAGGCACGUGUGCCUUUUUGUAUGUACUUUAUGAAUAAGGAUCGGCUAACUCCGUGCCAGCAGCCGCGGUAAUACGGAGGAUCCGAGCGUUAUCCGGAUUUAUAGGGUUUAAAGGGAGCGUAGAUGGGUUGUUAAGUCAGUUGUGAAAGUUUGCGGCUCAACCGUAAAAUUGCAAUUGAUACUGGCAGUCUUGAGUACAGUUGAGGUAGGCGGAAUUCGUGGUGUAGCGGUGAAAUGCUUAGAUAUCACGAAGAACUCCGAUUGCGAAGGCAGCUUACUAAACUGCCACUGACAUUGAUGCUCGAAAGUGUGGGUAUCAAACAGGAUUAGAUACCCCGGUAGUC
rnacentral:rRNA from 1 species